GAGGGUGUAGCUCAGUGGUAGAGCACGUGCUUAGCAUGCAUGAGGUUCUGGGUUCAAUCCCCGCUCCCUCC
rnacentral:tRNA from 1 species